rnacentral:lncRNA from 1 species
ACGUUUUUUCACUGCCCUGGGCCUUUAAAAGAAGUUUAAUAAAAAGUGACGAAUGUAAUAUUGUGUGGUAAAAAAAAAAAAAAUGUUCUGUUGAAUUCUGUGUAAUUAUGAAUUUUGAUUUAAAAGAGAUGUUUUGAUUUGUAAAAUUCAUUUGAUCUGAAUUGAGAUGGAGAAAUAAAAAAUAAAACGUUGAUUACCCCUAAAAAAAAAUACUGAAAGGUUGAAUAAAAUGACAGAUAAAACUCCGUUCUGUUAUAGGGGAGGUCUUUAUGUCCAGAUAAAAGGGGAGGUUUCCUUUAUGUUCAGAUAAAAGGGGAGGUUUCCUUUAUGUCCAGAUAAAAGGGGAGGUUUCCUUUAUGUCCAGAUAAAAGGGGAGGUUUCCUUUAUGUUCAGAUAAAAGGGGAGGUUUCCUUUAUGUCCAGAUAAAGGGGAGGUUGCCUUUAUGUCCAGAUAAAAGGGGAGGUUUCCUUUAUGUUCAGAUAAAAGGGGAGGUUUCCUUUAUGUUCAGAUAAAAGGGGAGGUUUCCUUUAUGUUCAGAUAAAAGGGGAGGUUUCCUUUAUGUCCAGAUAAAAGGGGAGGUUUUCCUUUAUGUUCAGAUAAAAGGGGAGGUUUCAGUAUGCAGAUCAGGGACGAUAUACAGGACCAGUCAAAAUGUUGGACAACACCAACUCAAUCCAGGGUUUUUAUUUUAAUUGUAUUUUUCUACAUUGUAGAAUAAUAGUGACGACAUCAAAACUAUGAAAACAACCCCUAUUAAUAUAGAAUGUUCUCUGGGUUUAAUAGACAUAUUAAAAGAUUAGUCAUAUAACUUUUUUAAAAAUUAUUAUAAUUAUUAUUCCCUUUAAUGUGGCAUGAAACAGAACCAGUCCUGUUUUCAGCUGAUUGUCUAACAAUCCCUUCCCGAAAGGUUUGCUCCUGUCGGAUAGACGAACCAUGUUUGUCCACCUGCCCAUUUCAUGAAACGGAAAAGAGAUCUGUCACACAAAACUAAAAAACUAAAAAGUGUGAUGUCAUUCAGUGAUUGUCAUUCGUAACCAUUCGGCUUGUAGCCUGAAUUGAUGCGUCCACUGCUGUAAACGCGCGUCGCGGUCCGUCUCCGUCCGUCUCCGUAGAAACGCAGUCUGGAGGGAAUUUACUGGCCGUUUUAAAUGUUUCAUUCGCUCAUUUUCGUGCAGAUGAGCCGCGGUAAUGUUAAUCCAGAGGUUCCUACCAGCUGUUAUCUCUCUCUCUCUCUGAAUGUCUGGCUGCUGUCACAUCACCUCGGUCAAAUAAAGCUGGACAUUUUGGAUGACUGGUCUCUGUGGUGUUACAUCUAUAAAGGUCCCCCUUCUGUUGUGUCACGUCCAUAAAGGUCCAUCUUCUGUUGUGUUACGUCCAUAAAGGUCCCCCUUCUGUUG